rnacentral:lncRNA from 1 species
AUCUUAUCAAUGUAUGUUUUCCACUAUCACAGAUUUCACCAAGAUAGCCUUGAGAAAAAACUUGACAAGAAGAAAUAAUCAAGCUAUAUUCUACUGUUAUGUAUAAGAACCAAGAAAGUAAAAAUAAGGAAUAAAAAUAUAGUAGAAAUAAU